UUUUGAACAUUGCAAGAGUAUGCCAUUUCUUAACUGUUAACCAAAGUAUACAAAAUAAAGUUCCAAACAAGCUGCAUGUAUCUCAAUUCUGAACUGUUGUUGACCAAAGUACAAAAUGAUGUUCCAAACAAGCACGUGGUGUCGCAGCUGACCGAAUUACCAAGCAUGAAUAUAAGAGUAUACUAAGUUUUGACCAACAUAUGGUCUCACACAGCAGUAUAUCACCAAGCAAGUUCGUCAAGUAGUCAGCAGAAAGCCAGCAAGCAGAAAAGAGUAGGGUGUUUUGUACCAACACAAAGCACACAGCCGACCACCCCCUCCAUGCCUCCAUGUAGCAUGCAGUCUGAACCUAUAGCAUGCAUGCCUCCAUGACACGAUUGACACUUUGUGAAGUUUUAAACUGACUCAACGCAUCUGACGACGGCAAUGAAAUUCUGAACAUUAUGAUCUAGCAAUAUCACCAGUACUACUAUGUAAUGAAAUGAGUCGUGUGUUCCUUUAAAGAAAAAAUUGAAAAAGAGGCACAACAGUGAGUUCUGAAGCUCUAGCUCUCAAACCUCAGCUGGCUCGAUCUGACGACGUGGAGAAACAGCGGCGCCCGCCACCAGAUUGUGGAGAACCAGCGUCGAAGUAAUGGUCGGCGGAGGCGAAAUCCCGCUCUUCCGCCGUCUCCCAGUCUCCCGUCCGUGGACUCCGGCGGCAGCUCCUGCGGACGGUGGACGAGUGGAUUCUAGUGGCUAUAGGAGGAGGCGUGGGCUGUGGACUAGAGCGGCCGGUGGAGGUAUGGAAUCGAGCGGAUGCAACACUGGGUGUGGACUCGAGCGGCGGCGGCACGGCCUCCCUGUGGCCGCGAUGCGGCCAGCGGCUAGCGCUCGGGUCGGGCGGCGGCGGAACAGGGGAUCGAGAUAAGAGAAGAGGAACGAAUCUAUAAAGGGGUUUUUU
rnacentral:lncRNA from 1 species